UGCUAUUUGCAACGCAGCAUAAGAGACACAGAUAUAAAGAACAGACUUUUGGACUCUGUGGGAGAAGGCGAUGGUAGGAUGAUUUGAGAGAACAGCAUUGAAACAUGUUUAUUACCACAUGUGAAAGAGAUGACCUGUCCAAAGUCGAUGCA